UUACAGGUACUCGAGUGAGUGGACUCUGCCGUUAAUAUUUUGUUAUUUAAGCAUUUAGCGUUACCGGAGGCAAGUUCUCGGUAUAAUGAUGAAGAACGAGUGACAUAGAGAACCAGGAAUACAUGGAAAAAGAGACUAAUUAAGGACAAUGAAAGAGGAAAUGUUACUCACCGCAGUGCAAUUUCUCGAAGCACUGGAGUGCCGCUGGCUAUCAUCUCCAUCACUUCGCUACGCUGCUCUAAGGAACAAACACAGCACAACAUACCGUUUACGAAAGCCAAAGAAUGGGCCUGUGCUAAAGGAUCGCCUGCAGGAGUGUGAAGAACAUGCAACACUAAGAUGAAUGCAGAAUUCAUGGCGAAUGACGGAGAAGCCCGGCUCCUCAAUACAUCAGAGGAAUGAAGGCCAGCGUGCACCAGGAUAGCAAGACAAUCAAUGGAGGAGAAGAAAGGCACACCAAGCAAGUCUCGCGCAAACAUCCCCAGCGUCCAUUUACCACAACGCCUACAUGCCCUUCAUCCGUCAACUUCCCGACCAGCCUCCUCCAGGAAAGGGCCGCCCACUCUCCUAACUGCCCCUUCACAGUAAAACCACAUUCCUUCUCUU